AGGCGACGACGGGUAGCCGGCCUGAGAGGGUGACCGGCCACACUGGGACUGAGACACGGCCCAGACUCCUACGGGAGGCAGCAGUGGGGAAUAUUGCACAAUGGGCGAAAGCCUGAUGCAGCGACGCCGCGUGAGGGAUGACGGCCUUCGGGUUGUAAACCUCUUUCAGUAGGGAACAAGGCCAGACGUUGUCUGGUUGAGGGUACUUGCAGAAGAAGCGCCGGCUAACUACGUGCCAGCAGCCGCGGUAAUACGUAGGGCGCAAGCGUUAUCCGGAAUUAUUGGGCGUAAAGAGCUCGUAGGCGGUUUGUCGCGUCUGCCGUGAAAGUCCGGGGCUCAACCCCGGAUCUGCGGUGGGUACGGGCAGACUAGAGUAAUGUAGGGGAGACUGGAAUUCCUGGUGUAGCGGUGAAAUGCGCAGAUAUCAGGAGGUACACCGAUGGCGAAGGCAGGUCUCUGGGCAUUAACUGACGCUGAGGAGCGAAAGCAUGGGGAGCGAACAGGAUUAGAUACCCUGGUAGUCCAUGCCGUAAACGUUGGGCACUAGGUGUGGGGGACAUUCCACGUCUUCCGCGCCGUAGCUAACGCAUUAAGUGCCCCGCCUGGGGAGUACGGCCGCAGGGCUAAAACUCAAAGGAAUUGACGGGGGCCCGCACAAGCGGCGGAGCAUGCGGAUUAAUUCGAUGCAACGCGAAGAACCUUACCAAGGCUUGACAUGAACUGGAAAUACCUGGAAACAGGUGCCCCGCUUGCGGUCGGUUUACAGGUGGUGCAUGGUUGUCGUCAGCUCGUGUCGUGAGAUGUUGGGUUAAGUCCCGCAACGAGCGCAACCCUCGUUCUAUGUUGCCAGCACGUUAUGGUGGGGACUCAUAGGAGACUGCCGGGGUCAACUCGGAGGAAGGUGAGGACGACGUCAAAUCAUCAUGCCCCUUAUGUCUUGGGCUUCACGCAUGCUACAAUGGCCGGUACAAUGGGUUGCGAUACUGUGAGGUGGAGCUAAUCCCAAAAAGCCGGUCUCAGUUCGGAUUGGGGUCUGCAACUCGACCCCAUGAAGUCGGAGUCGCUAGUAAUCGCAGAUCAGCAACGCUGCGGUGAAUACGUUCCCGGGCCUUGUACACACCGCCCGUCAAGUCACGAAAGUUGGUAACACCCGAAGCCG
rnacentral:rRNA from 1 species